rnacentral:rRNA from 1 species
AUUGAACGCUGGCGGCAGGCUUAAUACAUGCAAGUCGAACGGUAACAUAGCGUAAGCUUGCUUUUGCUGAUGACGAGUGGCGGACGGGUGAGUAGUAUCUGGGAAACUGCCCUGAAGAGGGGGACAACAGCUGGAAACGGCUGCUAAUACCGCAUAAGCCCUGAGGGGGAAAGGAAGGCAACUUCCGCUUCAGGAUGUGCCCAGAAGGGAUUAGCUGGUAGGUGAGGUAAAGGCUCACCUAGGCGACGAUCUCUAGCCGGUCUGAGAGGAUGACCGGCCACAUCGGGACUGAGACACGGCCCGGACUCCUACGGGAGGCAGCAGUAGGGAAUAUUGCACAAUGGGGGGAACCCUGAUGCAGCCAUGCCGCGUGUGUGAAGAAGGCCUUCGGGUUGUAAAGCACUUUCAGCGGGGAGGAAAUUAAGUUAGACGUUACCCGCAGAAGAAGCGCCGGCUAACUCCGUG